rnacentral:lncRNA from 1 species
AAAUAUAUAGACUAAAAAUUUUAAAUUCGAAAGUUUUCAAAUGACUGAACGAAAUGGAUUAGAAGGAACUACUCGAAAUUAAGCAAAGCUUAAUAGCUUAUGACGAUAAAAAAAAAAAAGUUGUGACAAUUCGAUUGGGACUGCUAGUGCGAACUUUGGUUCAUAUACGAUUAAAAAUUAAAAAUUGUUAAUAUCUAUUUUUUUGGUCACCG